rnacentral:rRNA from 1 species
CGUUUAGUGGUAGGAAGUUUGAGGCAAUAACAGGUCUGUGAUGCCCUUAGAUGUUCUGGGCCGCACGCGCGCUACACUGACAAAGUCAGCGAGUCUAUAACCUUGGCCGGAAGGUCCGGGUAAUCUUGUGAAACUUUGUCGUGCUGGGGAUAGACCAUUGCAAUUAUUGGUCUUGAACGAGGAAUUCCUAGUAAGCGCAAGUCAUCAGCUUGCGUUGAUUACGUCCCUGCCCUUUGUACACACCGCCCAUCGCUACUACCGAUUGAAUGGCU